rnacentral:rRNA from 1 species
CCUACGGGAGGCAGCAGUGGGGAAUAUUGGACAAUGGGCGAAAGCCUGAUCCAGCAAUGCCGCGUGAGUGAUGAAGGCCUUCGGGUCGUAAAGCUCUUUUACCAGGGAUGAUAAUGACAGUACCUGGAGAAUAAGCUCCGGCUAACUCCGUGCCAGCAGCCGCGGUAAUACGGAGGGAGCUAGCGUUGUUCGGAAUUACUGGGCGUAAAGAGUACGUAGGCGGUUAUUCAAGUCAGAGGUGAAAGCCCGGGGCUCAACCCCGGAACUGCCUUUGAAACUAGAUAACUAGAGUCUUGGAGAGGUUAGUGGAAUUCCGAGUGUAGAGGUGAAAUUCGUAGAUAUUCGGAAGAACACCAGUGGCGAAGGCGACUAACUGGACAAGUACUGACGCUGAGGUACGAAAGCGUGGGGAGCAAACAGGAUUAGAUACCCUGGUAGUCCACGCCGUAAACGAUGAUAACUAGUUGUUCGGUCUACUGUGUACUGAGUGACGCAGACUAACGACAUUAAGUUAAUUCCGUCCGUCGGGGUAGGUACGGUCGGCGAAGAAGUUAAAACGUAACGAAAGAAAGUUAGUACGGCGUGUAAGGACGUGCCGAACGGACGACGACGAAGGGAGGUUAGG